GACAGAGGUUGCAAGCGUUGUUCGGAAUUACUGGGCAUAAAGCGCACGUAGGCGGUCCGCUAAGUCAUGUGUGAAAUCCCCCGGCUCAACCGGGGAAUGGCGCCUGAUACUGGCGGACUCGAGAUCGGUAGGGGUGAGUGGAACUCCAGGUGGAGCGGUGAAAUGCGUAGAUAUCUGGAGGAACACCGGUGGCGAAAGCGAAUCCCUGGAAAGACCCUGACGCUGAGGCGCGAAAGCUAGGGUAGCAAACGGG
rnacentral:rRNA from 1 species